rnacentral:snRNA from 1 species
GGAUGUGAGGGAGAUCUGGCUGCAACAUCUGUCACCCCGUUGAUUGCCAGGGUUGAUUCGGCUGAUCUGGCUGGCUAGGCGGGUGUCCCCUUCCUCCCUCACCACUCCACAUGCGUCCCUCCCAAAGCGGCACGUGCUCAGUCAAAGAGGAUGACCAUCCCCGAUAGAGGAGGACCGUUCUUCGGUCAAGGGUAUACGAGUAGCUGCGCUCCCCUGCUAGACCCUCCAAACAAGCUCUCAAGACUAUCCAUUCCAUAGAGCAUCAACAAUAUCAUAAAACAACAUCUGUGAAGGUAGAGGAUAUAAGGU